ACUCGAGAGUGCAGCACGCAAAGCGCUAAAAAAACACAAAACAAAACACGCACGCGGCAGGAAAAGCGGAAAAUAACAAUCAAAUGCCGCCAAGGAGAAGGAAAAAAGGUGCAAAUCGGAUAAACCCGGGUCACGAUCCAUCAAGAUCAGUUAGGAUUCUUAAAAAAAAGUAUAUCUGAAAUACAAAAAAUGUUUUCUUCAAAACCAACGUAAUUAAUCAAGUGCCAAGCGUCGAGGAAAGCAAAAGUCCCCCUUGACCACUCCGGAAAACAGGAUUAGAACCAAGUGGGAAAUGCCAAGGAAAGGCUGAGGCCAAGGGAAGCCGCAGAUGGCGACAGGUGGGUGGACAGCGGGUGGCCAUUUCCCGAAGGUGAGACCCAAAGCCGAUCAGAAAUCAAGAGCCCCAACAAGCAGGUGCGACUGAAAGUGACUUGCACUGGGGAAUGUUCCGCCGCCAGCGGAUGAGACAACAAACUACACUGGCCAAACAGAACUUUGAUCGCUGAAAUCGGGUUGCAAGAUUGUAUGUUGUAAAGAAUUUAUAAUUUUACAAAAGAGAACCCCUCGAUUUUUUGAAAGAGAUUAGAACUGAUAUGCCUAUCUUUCAAUUUCAUCACGAAACACCCAUCAAGAGCGGUUAAUUAUUAAAAUACAUAAACGAACUGCAAACUAACUUCGAGCACAUGAUUUGAAUUCUGUAAGUUCUCACUGGAGCCCUGUAAAAGCCUGCGAGGCACCUACAAACUGCGAUUAAUUAGUUAAAUACACAUAGCCGCGCACAUGAUUUCACUUGAACCAAAGAUUAAGGCCUGACCGACUAAUUUGACGACGAGUGUAAAUGCGCUUGGCCAGCAAAAGUGCAAAAAGUCGCAUGAAAAAUGCUCGUAUAUUGCCCAUAUCGUACGUACUUUGCCUGGUCGCUUGCUGUUUACUUCACUGUAUACUGGAUACUGGGAUACUGGAUACUGGCACUCUGGCACUGGAUACUCUGGUGGUACUGCUGCCUGUGAAAAUCGCCUCGAACGAACUGAGAAGACCGCCGAGACUGAACGAAAUGUACUGGUACUGGCUGCUACUACGGCGGCUAUAGG